rnacentral:rRNA from 1 species
AGUGAACGCUGGCGGUAGGCCUAACACAUGCAAGUCGAACGGCAGCACAGUAAGAGCUUGCUCUUACGGGUGGCGAGUGGCGGACGGGUGAGGAAUACAUCGGAAUCUACUUUUUCGUGGGGGAUAACGUAGGGAAACUUACGCUAAUACCGCAUACGACCUACGGGUGAAAGCAGGGGGUCUUCGGACCUUGCGCGAUUGAAUGAGCCGAUGUCGGAUUAGCUAGUUGGCGGGGUAAAGGCCCACCAAGGCGACGAUCCGUAGCUGGUCUGAGAGGAUGAUCAGCCACACUGGAACUGAGACACGGUCCAGACUCCUACGGGAGGCAGCAGUGGGGAAUAUUGGACAAUGGGCGCAAGCCUGAUCCAGCCAUACCGCGUGGGUGAAGAAGGCCUUCGGGUUGUAAAGCCCUUUUGUUGGGAAAGAAAAGCAGCAGGUUAAUACCCCGCUGUUCUGACGGUACCCAAAGAAUAAGCACCAGCUAACUUCGUG